rnacentral:rRNA from 1 species
AAAUUGAAGAGUUUGAUCAUGGCUCAGAUUGAACGCUGGCGGCAGGCCUAACACAUGCAAGUCGAACGGUAACAGGAAGCAGCUUGCUGCUUCGCUGACGAGUGGCGGACGGGUGAGUAAUGUCUGGGAAACUGCCUGAUGGAGGGGGAUAACUACUGGAAACGGUAGCUAAUACCGCAUAACGUCGCAAGACCAAAGAGGGGGACCUUCGGGCCUCUUGCCAUCGGAUGUGCCCAGAUGGGAUUAGCUAGUAGGUGGGGUAACGGC